AGCACUACGUCACCGGCGGACGGGUGCGUAAAAAGAGGGAAGGUACUUAUUGGUUCGGAACAACUCAGGGAAAUAGAGCUAAUACCGAAUGUGCCCGAAAGGGGAAAGAUUUAUCGCCAAUAAAUCAGCCCGCGUCCGAUUAGCUAGUUGGUGGGGUAAAGGCUCACCAAGGCGACGAUCGGUAGCUGUUCUGAGAGGAAGAUCAGCCACACUGGGACUGAGACACGGCCCAGACUCCUACGGGAGGCAGCAGUUGGGAAUCUUGGACAAUGGGGGAAACCCUGAUCCAGCCAUGCCGCGUGAGUGAUGAAGGCCUUAGGGUUGUAAAACUCUUUCGGCGGGGACGAUAAUGACGGUACCCGCAGAAGAAGCUCCGGCUAACUUCGUGCCAGCAGCCGCGGUAAUACGAAGGGGGCUAGCGUUGUUCGGAAUUACUGGGCGUAAAGCGUGCGCAGGCGGCCAUCCAAGUCAGUGGUGAAAGCCCGGAGCUCAACUCCGGAACUGCCAUUGAAACUGUUUGGCUCGAGUACGAGAGAGGUGAGUGGAAUUCCCAGUGUAGAGGUGAAAUUCGUAGAUAUUGGGAAGAACACCGGUGGCGAAGGCGGCUCACCGGCUCGUAACUGACGCUCAUGCACGACAGCGUGGGGAUCAAACAGGAUUAGAUACCCUGGUAGUCCACGCCGUAUUUUUUUGAACGCUAGCCGUUGGCCAGCUUGCUGGUCAGUGGCGCAGCUAACGCAUUAAGCGUUCCGCCUGGGGAGUACGGCCGCAAGGUUGAAACUCAAAGGAAUUGACGGGGGCCCGCACCAAGCGGUGGAGCAUGUGGUUUAAUUCGACGCAACGCGCAGAACCUUACCAGGGUUUGACAUCCUGUGCUCCGACUCCGAAAGGGGUUUUCCCCGCAAGGGGCGCAGAGACAGGUGCUGCCAAUGGCUUGGUCGUCAGCUCGUGUCGUGAGAUGUUGGGUUAAGUCCCGCAACGAGCGCAACCCUCGCCUUUAGUUGCCAUCAUUCAGUUGGGCACUCUAGAGGGACCGCCGCGACCAGUCGGAGAAGGUGGGGAUGACGUCCAAGUCUCAUGGGCCCUACACCCUGGGCUUA
rnacentral:rRNA from 1 species